rnacentral:rRNA from 1 species
UACGUAGGGGGCAAGCGUUGUCCGGAUUUAUUGGGCGUAAAGAGCGUGUAGGCGGCUAGGUAGGUCCGUUGUGAAAACUCGAGGCUCAACCUCGAGCUGUCGAUGGAAACCAUCUGGCUAGAGUCCGGAAGAGGAGAGUGGAAUUCCUGGUGUAGCGGUGAAAUGCGCAGAUAUCAGGAGGAACACCCGUGGCGAAAGCGGCUCUCUGGGACGGUACUGACGCUGAGACGCGAAAGCGUUGGGAGCAAACAGG